AAAGGCUGAAGGAAGAAUAUUUCAGUGUUUACUUAUUGUGCAAUUUAGAUAAAACCAGAGGAGGCCAUAAGAAAUACCAGAGAGAUCUUCCCAGAGAAGAGAUGAGCCGAACCAUGUAGGUAAAAAUUCAUGAUAUUACAUUCAAAAUAAUCUAUUGGAAGAAAUAAUACGAGUCGGUCAUGUUCCUUCUGGGCUUCUAAACCAGUGUAAGAAAAAAAGCUGUAUCGGAUAGUUGGUAGUAAAUAAUUUAAAACCACCAUUCUAUUUAUUACAGAAUCAACAUUGAGAAUAUGGUAAUUUUUGUCUAGAACUCUUAACAUUAAACCAGUCAAACAAAAUAAUGAUACAUCUUCUGUUGGAAUACAACGUUGAGUCCUUCACUGUAUCUCCAGAGAAUAAGAGUUCAGAGAUGCAUAAGGAAAAUAUUAGGAACAAGAAAAACAUACUCUAGGAAUAGGAUUAAGGACCAAGGGAAAUGGAAUAAAAUAUUUGGUGGAGGUAAUAUUUAUGGCAUGCAAAAUAUCCCUGUUUCAGAGAAGAUAAAUCAGGAUCUUCAUAAACUCUAGGACACACUUCAAGAACUGGAGUAGUUGAACAAUUUCAAAUUAAAAAUUAUGUUUUUCCCCAUCACAAAAUACAGCCAUCCCAGCCUUACUUUUUCCUCAGAAACCACUAAAGCAAGGAUUUCAGCAGUUUCCAGAAGAACUGACACUUCUAUAGGUAAGACUCCUGAAAGAUCAUUAGUCUGAUCCAGCACAGCCUUGUUGCUAGCUUUAAGACAAUCCUUAGCUUUUCCCAAGUGUUUCCUUCUACUGUUUGAUUUCAUUUAGAGCUGCGAAGUAUUUUUUAUGUCUGUGUAUUUGGAAUAUCUGCUUUCCCCAAAAUAGCAAUAAUGCAGUGAGAGUAGUACCAAUAUUUGCACUUACAGGAAAGAUUUUAGUGCUGUUAGCAUUGAACCAUUUGGCUGACAGUGCCUACUUUGUGCAGCAUAUGUGAUUUGUCAAUCAUCCAUGAAAUACACAUCACUGAGAUUCUGAUCUCCAUUUAUUGUUCAGUCUUCUGAGAAAAUACUGCGUUGCUGAUCCAGAUUUCUCAAUAUUUUGUAUUCCUCUAUAGCUUCUACUUGGUGCCCUGAAAGGAUUAUUUUGUAUUUUUCAGUUUCCCCAGAGAAACUGUAGAAGAAUUUUGGUGUGCCAGUUCUGAACAGACCAAAUACCACUCAAACUUUCAAGAGUUGAGCAAAAUGCAGUGAAACAACUUAACUUUCACUGCUGUUUUAGCACAAUCUUCCAUUAGCAUUCCCCUUAGGUAUCUGCAUCUCAUUCGCAUGGGUCUCCAUUCAGAAAAAGCUGCCUUUGCCAUUUGAAGAGACAAAAUACCAAGGGCAACCUUGUGCUGACAAACGCAAUUAGCCCAAGGUCAGUUAAGGAUAGGGAAGCAUCAGAAAGUAACAACUGAAAUUAUACAAAGCUAAGGGAAGGCGGAGCUGUGACUAUUCAAGUGACUUAUUUUUAAUCAUUCAUUGGGGUUUGUUUCUGAUGCACCUGCCUUCUUUAAGAACUUCCCAAUUUAUUUUCUUAAUGUACCUUGAACUCCCCAGCUGUUACAUGGACAUACCACUCUCAGAACGUAUCACUCCUAGGGAUCACUCCAAACCUUGUGCUCAAGUGUGAAGCAGCCAGUCGCUAAAUGUCACUGAUGAUGCAAGUUUCUUCAUGGCUGAAAUACAGCACCUGGCACUUCCAAGUGCCACUUCGCAACUAAAAUACUUACAUACUUCCUAAAGGUGGUCUGCAGGAUCACCAGCUACCCAUGAAGGCUCCAGUUACAUACCCCUGAAUGUGCAACCAUUCCCUUUUUGAAAAAGGUCUAGAACUUAAACACAGCGUUUUAAAAUUUCUCUGAACACUUGCACAUAGAGGAAAAAGACAGGAAAGCAUUGCAUUUACAAAGCACUUCCGAAAAAACAGAAACGUUACAUGGAUCAGCAGGACAGUCUGUUUCAUUAAACUUCACCUAAUUUGUUUUUAUGUUGUUAAAUGCUUCUGACAGAACUCUGAAUCUCCAAAUCUGGUCAAACUAACAGAAGAAUUUUAUGCCGAAAUGACUAAGUUAGGACACUGUGUGAUUAGUUUAAGGACUCCACUUCUGUCCACCUUUUAGGCAUUCAGUAGAAGGAGCUCUUCUAAAAGAAGUGUGUCUAGAAACAUGUCAGUGCCUUGUGAUGCUCAUGCCAAAGUUAAGUUAAAAUGGUAAUUUCAAGAACUCCAACUAUCUAGAUAGGAUUAGGCCACUAAUCUCUCAGCUAUCCACACAAAAUGAUGAGAGUACACAAAACCCUUCCUCAUAGGAACGAUAAACCCAUAAAUUGGUAAAUGCUUAGAAGUACUGCUUUGAUGAUUUUGUGAAACAGCUCAGACGUUUCAACUUCCUGCGACCCAGAGUGUCUAAACUAACUGGCUUUCAACAGUCCAUCAGAAAGCAAAUCAGUACUGCACAGGACUACCAAACACAUACCACUGAGCAGCAACAUGGACUUUCCCACAUAGGCUACUAUCCUCCAUUAAGCUAAAGUUUUGUUACAGCCCUCUCUCUGCCUUCCAUCACCAAAUACAGAGAAUUAGUUUAAAUUGCCUUCCAAAACUAACAAAUUCAUGAUGCAGACAAGAGCCUCCCUUUAUUUGGCUGUAGUAAGCCUACCACAAGACCAGAAGUGGGGUUUAUCUCAGUGCAUGUCUUAACUACUAUUCUAGUCAGCAUAUACAGUUUUAGUAAUCGAUCUUCAAUUUUUAAGUAUAGAGAGGCUUGGCUUCUCUUCUGUUUUAAUUAAAAAGGCAACUGGGAGAUUUUUUCCAAAGAAUAAAUGGAACACUAGGUCAGGCAACAGUCAUUUAUUUAUUGACUUUAACAAGCAAAAGGUAUCCUCAGACAUGACGGCCAACACUUGAGCAAUACAGAUCAAUGCUAUUGAGGAACAUCUUUUCUCUCACCCCUCCCAUCCCAGGAGUAACAAUAGAAAUACCAGGGCCCCUAGAGAAGAGAGAAG